rnacentral:rRNA from 1 species
AACGAACGCUGGCGGCAUGCCUAACACAUGCAAGUCGAACGAGACCUUCGGGUCUAGUGGCGCACGGGUGCGUAACGCGUGGGAACCUGCCCUUAGGUUCGGAAUAACUCCCCGAAAGGGGUGCUAAUACCGGAUAAUGUCUUCGGACCAAAGAUUUAUCGCCUUUGGAUGGGCCCGCGUUGGAUUAGCUAGUUGGUAGGGUAAAAGCCUACCAAGGCGACGAUCCAUAGCUGGUCUGAGAGGAUGAUCAGCCACACUGGGACUGAGACACGGCCCAGAAUCCUACGGGAGGCAGCAGUGGGGAAUAUUGGACAAUGGGCGAAAGCCUGAUACAGCAAUGCCGCGUGAGUGAUGAAGGCCUUAGGGUUGUAAAGCUCUUUUACCCGGGAUGAUAAUGACAGUACCGGGAGAAUAAGCUCCGGCUAACUCCGUG